rnacentral:rRNA from 1 species
GACGAACGCUGGCGGCGUGCUUAACACAUGCAAGUCGAGCGGAGUGGCGAACGGGUGAGUAACACGUGGGUGAUCUGCCUUUCACUUCGGGAUAAGCUUGGGAAACUGGGUCUAAUACCGGAUAGUGCAAGAUGAUCUCGCGGCCUCUCGGCUUGUUGGUGGGGUAAUGGCCUACCAAGGCGUCGACGGGUAGCCGGCCUGAGAGGGUGUACGGCCAAAUUGGGACUGAGAUACGGCCCAGACUCCUACGGGAGGCAGCAGUGGGGAAUAUUGCGCAAUGGGCGGAAGCCUGAUGCAGCGACGCCGCGUGGGUGAUGAAGGCCUUCGGGUUGUAAACUCCUUUCGACAGGGACGCGGUACCUGUAUAAGAAGCACCGGCUAACUACGUGCCAGCAGCCGCGGUAAUAC